rnacentral:misc_RNA from 1 species
GAUGAAGAACGCAGUGAAAUGCGAUAAGUAGUGUGAAUUGCAGAAUUCAGUGAAUCAUCGAAUCUUUGAACGCACAUUGCGCCCUUUGGUAUUCCAAAGGGCAUGCCUGUUCGAGCGUCAUUUGUACCCUCAAGCUUUGCUUGGUGUUGGGCGUCUUGUCUCUAGCUUUGCUGGAGACUCGCCUUAAAGUAAUUGGCAGCCGGCCUACUGGUUUCGGAGCGCAGCACAAGUCGCACUCUCUAUCAGCAAAGGUCUAGCAUCCAUUAAGCCUUUUUUUCAACUUUUGACCUCGGAUCAGGUAGGGGUACCCGCUGAACUUAAGCAUAUCAAUAAGCGGAGGA